rnacentral:rRNA from 1 species
UGGGGAAUUUUGGACAAUGGGCGAAAGCCUGAUCCAGCAAUGCCGCGUGUGUGAAGAAGGCCUUCGGGUUGUAAAGCACUUUUGUCCGGAAAGAAAUCCUUGGCUCUAAUACAGUCGGGGGAUGACGGUACCGGAAGAAUAAGCACCGGCUAACUACGUGCCAGCAGCCGCGGUAAUACGUAGGGUGCAAGCGUUAAUCGGAAUUACUGGGCGUAAAGCGUGCGCAGGCGGUUUGCUAAGACCGAUGUGACGGAUCCCCAGGCUCAGCAUGGGAAGCUGCAUUGUGACUGGCAGGCUAGAGUAUGGCAGAGGGGGGUAGAAUUCCACGUGUAGCAGUNAAAUGCGUAGAGAUGUGGAGGAAUACCGAUGGCGAAGGCAGCCCCCUGGGCCAAUACUGACGCUCAUGCACGAAAAGCGUGGGGAGCAAAACAGGAUUAGAUACCCUGGCAGUCCACGCCCCUAAACGAUGUCAACUAGUUGUUGGGGAUUCAUUUCCUUAGUAACGUAGCUAACGCGUGAAGUUGACCGCCUGGGGAGUACGGUCGCAAGAUUAAAACUCAAAUGAAUUGACGGGGUCAUAGCUGUUUCCU